rnacentral:rRNA from 1 species
UGUCCUACGGGGGGCAGCAGUGGGGGGUAUUGCACAAUGGGGGCAACCCUGAUGCAGCGACGCCGCGUGAGCGAUGGAGUACUUCGGUAUGUAAAGCUCUGUCAGCAGGGAAGAGAAUGACGGUACCUGACCAAGAAGCCCCGGCUAACUACGUGCCAGCAGCCGCGGUAAUACGUAGGGGGCAAGCGUUAUCCGGAUUUACUGGGUGUAAAGGGAGCGUAGACGGCUGUGCAAGUCUGAAGUGAAAGCCCGUGGCUCAACCGCGGAACUGCUUUGGAAACUGUAUAGCUUGAGUACU